rnacentral:rRNA from 1 species
UACGUAGGGUGCAAGCGUUGUCCGGAAUUAUUGGGCGUAAAGAGCUCGUAGGCGGUUUGUCGCGUCUGCUGUGAAAACUCGGGGCUUAACCCCGGGCCUGCAGUGGGUACGGGCAGACUAGAGUGCGGUAGGGGAGACUGGAAUUCCUGGUGUAGCGGUGAAAUGCGCAGAUAUCAGGAGGAACACCGGUGGCGAAGGCGGGACUCUGGGCCGAUACUGACGCUGAGGAGCGAAAGCGUGGGGAGCGAACAGG